rnacentral:tRNA from 1 species
GGAAGCGCGUGGCUGGCUGGUGCCGCCCCCAGUCUUCAAAACUGACGAAGGGCGUGAGAAACGUCCUUGGCGGGUUCGAUUCCCGUGCGCUUCCGCCA